rnacentral:rRNA from 1 species
GACGAACGCUGGCGGCGCGCCUAACACAUGCAAGUCGAACGGAGCUGAGAGAAGCUUGCUUUUCUUAGCUUAGUGGCGAACGGGUGAGUAACGCGUGAGUAACCUGCCCUGGAGUGGGGGACAACAGUUGGAAACGACUGCUAAUACCGCAUAAGCCCACGAUCCGGCAUCGGAUUGAGGGAAAAGGAUUUAUUCGCUUCAGGAUGGACUCGCGUCCAAUUAGCUAGUUGGUGAGGUAACGGCCCACCAAGGCGACGAUUGGUAGCCGGACUGAGAGGUUGAACGGCCACAUUGGGACUGAGACACGGCCCAGACUCCUACGGGAGGCAGCAGUGGGGGAUAUUGCACAAUGGGGGAAACCCUGAUGCAGCGACGCCGCGUGGAGGAAGAAGGUUUUCGGAUAGUAAACUCCUGUCGUUAGGGACGAUAAUGACGGUACCUAACAAGAAAGCACCGGCUAACUACGUG